UUGAACGCUGGCGGCAGGCCUAACACAUGCAAGUCGAACGGUAACAGGAAACAGCUUGCUGUUUCGCUGACGAGUGGCGGACGGGUGAGUAAUGUCUGGGAAACUGCCUGAUGGAGGGGGAUAACUACUGGAAACGGUAGCUAAUACCGCAUAACGUCGCAAGACCAAAGAGGGGGACCUUCGGGCCUCUUGCCAUCGGAUGUGCCCAGAUGGGAUUAGCUAGUAGGUGGGGUAACGGCUCACCUAGGCGACGAUCCCUAGCUGGUCUGAGAGGAUGACCAGCCACACUGGAACUGAGACACGGUCCAGACUCCUACGGGAGGCAGCAGUGGGGAAUAUUGCACAAUGGGCGCAAGCCUGAUGCAGCCAUGCCGCGUGUAUGAAGAAGGCCUUCGGGUUGUAAAGUACUUUCAGCGGGGAGGAAGGGAGUAAAGUUAAUACCUUUGCUCAUUGACGUUACCCGCAGAAGAAGCACCGGCUAACUCCGUGCCAGCAGCCGCGGUAAUACGGAGGGUGCAAGCGUUAAUCGGAAUUACUGGGCGUAAAGCGCACGCAGGCGGUUUGUUAAGUCAGAUGUGAAAUCCCCGGGCUCAACCUGGGAACUGCAUCUGAUACUGGCAAGCUUGAGUCUCGUAGAGGGGGGUAGAAUUCCAGGUGUAGCGGUGAAAUGCGUAGAGAUCUGGAGGAAUACCGGUGGCGAAGGCGGCCCCCUGGACGAAGACUGACGCUCAGGUGCGAAAGCGUGGGGAGCGAACAGGAUUAGAUACCCUGGUAGUCCACGCCGUAAACGAUGUCGACUUGGAGGUUGUGCCCUUGAGGCGUGGCUUCCGGAGCUAACGCGUUAAGUCGACCGCCUGGGGAGUACGGCCGCAAGGUUAAAACUCAAAUGAAUUGACGGGGGCCCGCACAAGCGGUGGAGCAUGUGGUUUAAUUCGAUGCAACGCGAAGAACCUUACCUGGUCUUGACAUCCACGGAAGUUUUCAGAGAUGAGAAUGUGCCUUCGGGAACCGUGAGACAGGUGCUGCAUGGCUGUCGUCAGCUCGUGUUGUGAAAUGUUGGGUUAAGUCCCGCAACGAGCGCAACCCUUAUCCUUUGUUGCCAGCGGUCCGGCCGGGAACUCAAAGGAGACUGCCAGUGAUAAACUGGAGGAAGGUGGGGAUGACGUCAAGUCAUCAUGGCCCUUACGACCAGGGCUACACACGUGCUACAAUGGCGCAUACAAAGAGAAGCGACCUCGCGAGAGCAAGCGGACCUCAUAAAGUGCGUCGUAGUCCGGAUUGGAGUCUGCAACUCGACUCCAUGAAGUCGGAAUCGCUAGUAAUCGUGGAUCAGAAUGCCACGGUGAAUACGUUCCCGGGCCUUGUACACACCGCCCGUCACACCAUGGGAGUGGGUUGCAAAAGAAGUAGGUAGCUUAACCUUCGGGAGGGCGCUUACCACUUUGUGAUUCAUGACUGGGGUG
rnacentral:rRNA from 1 species